rnacentral:ribozyme from 1 species
CCAACUUCAAGCGUCAACUGGAGAAGCGUGGCUCCGUUACAGGAGCCACACCGCCAGAAACAGACGAUGAUAGUGAU